CCUACGGGGGGCAGCAGUGAGGAAUAUUGGUCAAUGGCCGGAAGGCUGAACCAGCCAUGCCGCGUGAAGGUCAGUGCCCUAUGGGCGUUAAACUUCUUUUGUGCGGGAGCAAUAAUGGUCACGUGUGGCCAGACGAGAGUACCGUACGAAUAAGCAUCGGCUAACUCCGUGCCAGCAGCCGCGGUAAUACGGGGGAUGCAAGCGUUAUCCGGAUUUAUUGGGUUUAAAGGGUGCGUAGGCUGUGAGGUAAGUCAGCGGUGAAAUGCCCCCGCUCAACGGGGUGAAGUGCCAUUGAUACUGGCUGGCUGGAAUGCGGAUGCGGUGGGAGGAAUGUGAGGUGUAGCGGUGAAAUGCAUAGAUAUCACACAGAACACCGAUUGCGAAGGCAUCUCACGAAUCCGCGAUUGACGCUGAUGCACGAAAGCGUGGGUAUCAAACAGGAUUAGAUACCCGUGUAGUC
rnacentral:rRNA from 1 species